UGGAUUGAGAUCAUGUGAGAACCAUGUCGAAUAAUAGGAAUUAAGAACUGAUCUCAGUCGUCCAUCACGCAUCAUCUAACGGUUGUCAUCUUACCCGCUUCAUUAAGGGUAAAAUGGUAAUUAUAGGAUUUGAAUGAAUACCCUAAAAUUUUCCCUGCUUCUCUUUUCACUUUAUCUAUCUUCAUUUCGUUUUCUCUCUCCUCCUGCAAAUUCUCUCUCUUGUGAUUGUCCUGAUCUUCGCACAUCCUCACUUCUCAAAUUCCCAAUUUCUCAUCUUUGCUCAUUACUCUAGCAAAUUUAUGGGGUGCUAUAUGGGACUAUCGGUUAGAUUGUCAUAUUGAUGGCUUUAUUGUUGUUGUUGCACACACUCAUGUCACUCAAGAUUUCAAAAAGGACUUGUAACUAGCAGAAUAUCUGAUGUUCUGCUUGCAACCAACACUACUGCUGAAGUUACUUUGAGGCUUGUGAUGCUUGGGAAGAAGUUGUCAGGUACUGGUGAUGAGGUGUGGGGGCUUUUUUUUGACUGAGUUGCUGUUACUGAACCAGGGAAGAAGAAGAUGAAGCUGCAACUAACUUAGUACUGUAGAUUUUUAUGUCUGGAAUUUAGCCAGAACAUUCAUUUUGGGACUGAUUUUUCUGUCUGGAAUGAAGGACAACUAUUUUGUAAAGAAUAUUUGUGAACUGUUAUUCUGGUAGCUUUAAAUACCCCCUUUUUGAAUGAAAAAUUUAAAGGGGGGAGGAAAAUUUGAAUGGGUUUUGUAAAUUUGGAUUUGGUGGGAAAAAAAAAUUUCGAUGCUUUUUAA